rnacentral:rRNA from 1 species
UCUCCACUGAGGAUAGUAGCUCAUUCGGUGCAGCCGCCUGCGGGGAUGCUGCCAUUGGUACCUUGCCCUAGCUGCCACAUUCGAUCUACAAUUCGUCUUGUGUCAAAAUCGGAGGCAAAUCCUGGUAGAAUUUUCUACAAGUGCCCCAAUCAUCAUAUUCCACCAAAUCCUUGCCAACAUUAUUACUGGGAAGAUGGACCAGACAACUAUUUUGAUUUUUUGGUGAGAGGUGGGUACAUCAGCCAUGGAUUGAGCAGUUUUGAUUCGGCUGGUGUCAUUGCAGGUGAAGAAAUAGAGGUGCAAGAGGAAUGUGCAGGAGCAAUGCAGAGCACUGUUGAGACUGUGGUGAAUGUAGAUGUAGUGAAGAAGAUCAAUGAGCUCAUUUUUCUUUGUAAGAGUAUUCUCAGUGCA